AUUGAACGCUGGCGGCAUGCCUUACACAUGCAAGUCGAACGGUAACGCGGGGCAACCUGGCGACGAGUGGCGAACGGGUGAGUAAUGCAUAGGAACGUGGCCAGUCGUGGGGGAUAACUGCUCGUAAGAGCAGCUAAUACCGCAUACGACCUGAGGGUUAAAGCGGGGGAUCGCAAGACCUCGCGCAAUUGGAGCGGCCGAUGUCGGAUUAGCUAGUUGGUGGGGUAAAGGCCGACCAAGGCGACGAGCCGUGGGUGGACUGAGAAGACGACCAGCCACACUUGGACUGAGACACGGCCCAGACUCCUACGGGAGGCAGCAGUGGGGAAUUUUGGACAAUUGACGCAAGUCUGAUCCAGCCAUGCCGCGUGCGGGAAGAAGGCCUUCGGGUUGUAAACCGCUUUUGUCAGGGAAGAAAUCUUCUGGGUUAAUACCUCGGGAGGAUGACGGUACCUGAAGAAUAAGCACCGGCUAACUACGUGCCAGCCGCCGCUGUAAAAC
rnacentral:rRNA from 1 species